rnacentral:rRNA from 1 species
GGGGGCAACCCUGAUGCAGCGACGCCGCGUGAGCGAUGAAGCCCUUCGGGGUGUAAAGCUCUUUCGGCAGGGAAGAUAAUGACGGUACCUGCAGAAGCAGCUGCGGCUAACUACGUGCCAGCAGCCGCGGUAAUACGUAGGCAGCAAGCGUUGUUCGGAGUUACUGGGCGUAAAGGGUGUGUAGGCGGCCUUCUAAGUUUGGUGUGAAAUCUCCCGGCUCAACCGGGAGGGUGCGCCGAAGACUGGGGGGCUAGAGUGCGGGAUGGGAGAGUAGAAUUCCUGGUGUAGCGGUGAAAUGCGUAGAUAUCAGGAGGAAUACCUGUGGUGUAGACGGCUCUCUGGACCGCAACUGACGCUGAGACACGAAAGCGUGGGUAGCAAACAGGAUUAGAUACCCUGGUAGUCCACGCCCUAAACGAUGCAUAUUUGGUGUAGGUCAUUCAGUUGAUCUGUGCCGGAGCUAACGCGUUAAAUAUGCCGCCUGGGGAGUACAGUCGCAAGGCUGAAACUCAAAGGAAUUGACG